GCCCCCGUCGUCUAGUCCGGUCAAGGAUGCGAGCCUCUCGAGCUCGAGAUCGUUAAGACGAGAAACACGGGUUCAAAUCCCGUCGGGGGCA
rnacentral:tRNA from 1 species